rnacentral:rRNA from 1 species
AUUGAACGCUGGCGGCAGGCCUAACACAUGCAAGUCGAGCGGAUGAGGGGAGCUUGCUCCUGGAUUCAGCGGCGGACGGGUGAGUAAUGCCUAGGAAUCUGCCUCGUAGUGGGGGAUAACGUCCGGAGACGGGCGCUAAUACCGCAUACUUCCUGAUGGAGAAAGUGGGGGAUCUUCGGACCUCGCGGUAGGAGAUGGGUGUAGGUGGGAUUAGCUAGUUGGUGGGUUAAUGGCCUACCAAGGCGACGAUGGGUAGCUGGCCUGAGAGGAUGAACGGUCACAUUGGGACUGAGAUACGGACCAGACUGCUACGGGAGGCAGCAGUGGGGAAUAUUGCACAAUGGGCGGAAGCCUGAUGCAGCAACGCCGCGUGCGGGAUGACGUCCUUCGGGUUGUAAACCGCUUUCGCCUGUGACGAAGCGUGAGUGACGGUAAUGGGUAAAGAAGCACCGGCUAACUACGUG